GGGUUGUGAGGUUAAGCGACUAAGCGUACACGGUGGAUGCCCUGGCAGUCAGAGGCGAUGAAGGGCGUGCUAAUCUGCGAUAAGCGCCGGUAAGGUGAUAUGAACCGUUAUAACCGGCGAUACCCGAAUGGGGAAACCCAGUGUGAUUCGUCACACUAUCAUUAACUGAAUCCAUAGGUUAAUGAGGCGAACCGGGGGAACUGAAACAUCUAAGUACCCCGAGGAAAAGAAAUCAACCGAGAUUCCCCCAGUAGCGGCGAGCGAACGGGGAGGAGCCCAGAGCCUGAAUCAGCAUGUGUGUUAGUGGAAGCGUCUGGAAAGGCGCGCGAUACAGGGUGACAGCCCCGUACACAAAAGCGCAUGUGCUGUGAGCUCGAUGAGUAGGGCGGGACACGUGGUAUCCUGUCUGAAUAUGGGGGGACCAUCCUCCAAGGCUAAAUACUCCUGACUGACCGAUAGUGAACCAGUACCGUGAGGGAAAGGCGAAAAGAACCCCGGCGAGGGGAGUGAAAAAGAACCUGAAACCGUGUACGUACAAGCAGUGGGAGCACAGGUUUACCUGUGUGACUGCGUACCUUUUGUAUAAUGGGUCAGCGACUUAUAAUA
rnacentral:rRNA from 1 species